GCUAGUUGUCAUCCCUGAACAUGCAGUUUAUCCCUUCUUAUAUGUGUAAGCAACUGCUGCCAGGGAGUGGUGGGGCGAAAAUCGUAGUUCUUGAUUUUGACAAGGUUAGUGAUAUUCGGAAUCCUUGGGACGUCCUUACCCUAAACCCAAGCAUAACCCGUUGUCACGCCUGGUUCUCGACCAGGCUACCCUAACCUGAACUUUAACUAUUCAUACAGUUCAACUUCAAUGGGGUAGGGACGUCCCAGAGAUCUUGAAAGCACAGACCAUUUUGAAAGCAUGACGUGGAAAGGGGCGGAGAUGUCAGUCAAUGUGGAAAUGCGAUAGUCACAGCAGUAUCAGCACCAGUACUUCUGGAAGUUUCUUACAUGGUGGCUAGCUAACGACAUGGUGAAAAGCGUAUUUUGAGUAGCCACGAUAUCUCGGCUCAUAAAUUGAUUUAUUCAGCAGAGAGUGGGAUAUAUUUAUGUAACUCCAUGGUUUAAUAGGUCAAAAAAUCGUGGCGGGUCGGAUUUGUAGCUAGCUUGCAGCUGUCAACUGGUUAAGUAGCUAGCCAGCUGCAAACACUACAUUUCAGUGUGGUUGGUUGACGGCCUUUGAUAUAAGAUUAACUGGUGAAUUGACUAUGUUUUUUUGAAUAUCAAGCGUUACUUGACAGAUACUAGUAAUGGGUAAAGACUAUUAUAAAGUGUUGGGUAUACAGAAAGGCGCCUCUGAGGACGAGAUAAAGAAGGCGUAUCGAAAGCAGGCCCUGCGAUAUCACCCUGAUAAAAACAAGUCCACUGGAGCUGAGGAUAAAUUCAAAGAGAUCGCCGAGGCCUAUGAUGUCCUCAGCGACGCAAAGAAAAAGGAUAUAUAUGACCGAUAUGGAGAAGAAGGCCUGAAGGGGCACACAGCUGGUGGGGGUGGUGGUCCCAAUGGUCCCAACAACUACAACUACACCUUCCAUGGAGAUCCUCACGCCAUGUUUACAGAGUUUUUUGGUGGCCGCAGCCCAUUCGACCAGUUCUUUGCACGCAACGGGGACGAUGACAUGGACACUGAUGACCCCUUUGCUGCAUUUGGUAUGGGAGGGAUGGGGGGUAUGCCGGGAGGAUGGGGGGUAUGCCGGGUGGAAUGGGAGGGUUCCACCAACACCAGAGGUCCUUCAAAUCCCGACCAGGGGGUCCCCACGGGGGCCGUGAGAAGAAGAAAGAUUCUCCGGUGGUACACGAGCUGAAGGUGAGCCUGGAGGAAGUGUUCUCCGGCUGCACCAAGAAGAUGAAGAUCUCCAGGAAGCGGCUGAACCCGACGGCUGCAGCAUGCGCAGCGAGGACAAGAUCCUGACAGUGGACAUCAAGCGAGGCUGGAAGGAAGGGACCAAGAUCACCUUCCCCAGGGAGGGAGAUGAGACGCCCACUAACAUUCCCGCUGACGUGGUGUUUGUGGUCAAAGACAAACCCCAUCCUCUGUUUCGCCGGGAUGGCUCCGAUAUCAUCUACCCUGCUAGAGUGUCCCUCAGAGAUGCACUGUGUGGAUGCACGGUCAGCGCUCCCACUCUGGAUGGCAGGACUGUGACUGUGACCUCUAGAGACGUGGUCAAACCUGGGAUGAAGAAGCGUAUCGUGGGAGAGGGACUACCCCUGUCCAAGUGCCCAGAGAAGAGGGGGGACAUGGUGCUUGAGUUUGUAGUGAAAUUCCCUGAGAAUUUGGGGCAGAGUGCCCGCGAUGCACUGACUCAGAUUCUUCCUCCUUGAAUGACUAAAGUGGCUUUUGAAGACGCCUAACAAACACGAAGACAGACAGUCGUCUUUCUCCAUUACAGUUGUCCUUACCCUAGGCCAAAGAACAUAAUAGUUGUUUGGGAAUUAUACUUGUUUAUUUUGAUUCAACCUUUGAUCCAAAUUAUAAUUCAGUUAUAUAUUUAACCACCAUGAGAUAUUGACAGACAAACAUGUUGGUCUCUUCUGAUGUUAGCUGUUCUGUUUGGUUCAUAAUUUUUUCCUGUUUAUUAUUAAAACAUUUAGAUUUUAUUACCAACAUGUCCUAUUGACAGUAUUCCAUUUCCCAUUGGAAGGGAAAAUAAAGACAUUUCUAGGGGGACCCAGUGCUAGACAUUGGAUAAUAAUGAUUGAGCAUAGGGCAGGGGUUGGUCUGGCCCUGUAGAGAUGGCUGGUCCUGGUUGUUAUAAGGUCUGAGGGAUACGUAGAGUUGAAGAUGCCUGUGGCAAACAGAGCACUGAUGUGGAAUUUGUGUGGUAUCCAGUUGUUUUGAUAGUGCUUCCAGAAUAUUUGUUGCAGGCAACUUAUCAACUAUAUCUCUCAGGAGCAGUGACACACACCUGAAUGUAGAUAUACUUAUAAAUGCAAUGCAUACAGUGCCAUCUGAAAAUAUUCAGACCCCUUGACUUUUUCCACAUUUUGUUACGUUACAGCCUAAUUCUAAAAUUGAUUAAAGUUUUUUUUCUUAUCAAUCGACACAAUACACCAUAAUGACAAAGCAAAAACAGGUUUUUAAAGAAAUGUUUUAGAAUCUUAAAAAACAUCACAUUUACAUAAGUGUUGUGACCCUUUACUCAGUACUUUGUUGAAUCACAUUUGGCAGCAACUACAGACUCGAGUCUUGGGUAUGAUGCUACAAGCUUGGCACACCUGUAUUUGGGCAGUUUCUCCCAUUCUUCUCUGCAGAUCCUCUCAGGCUCUAUCAGGUUGGAUGGGGAGUGUUGCUGCACAGCUAUUUUCAGGUCUUCCAGAGAUGUUUGAUCGGGUUCAAAUCCGGGCUCUGGCUGGGCCACUCAGGGACAUUAAGAGUCUUGUCCCAAAGCCACCCCUACGUUGUCUUGGCUUUGUGCUUAGGGUCGUUGUCCUGUUGGAAGGACAACAACCCCUUCGCCCCAGUCUGAGGUCCUGAGCGCUCUGGAGCAGGUUUUCAUCAAGGAUCUCUGUACUUUGCUCUGUUCAUCUGUGCCUCGAUCCUGACAAGUCUCCCAGUCCCUGCUGCUGAAAAACAUCCCCACAGUAUACUGAUGCUGUCACCACCAUGCUUCACCGAAGGGAUGGUGUUAGGUUUCCUCCAGAUGUGACGCUUGGCAUUCAGGCUGAAGAGUUCAAUUUUGGUUUCAUCAGACCAGAGAAUAUUGUUUCUCAUGGUCUUAGAGUCUUUAGGUGCCUUUUGGCAAACUCCAAGCGGGCUGUCAUGUGCCUGUUAUUGAGGAGUGGCUUCCUUCUGGCCACUCUACCAUAAAGGCCUGAUUUGGUGGAGUGCUGCAGGGAUGGUUGUCCUUCUGGAAGGUUCUCCCAUCUCCUCUUAGGAACUCUAGAGCUCUUGUCAGUGUGACCAUCGGGUUCUUGGUCACCUCCCUGACCAAGGCCCUUUUCCCCCGAUUGCUCAGUUUGGCUGGGCGGCCAGCUCUAGAAACAGUCUCUGUGGUUCCAAACUUCUUCCAUUUAAGAAUGAUGGAGGGCACUAUGUUCUUGGGGACCCUUUUUGUAGCCUUCCCCAGAUCUGUGCCUUGAUGCAAUCCUGUCUCAGAGUUCUAUGGACAAUUUCUUCAACCUCAUUGCUUGGUUUUUGCUGUGACAUGCACAGCAAACUGUGCAAACUUUUAAAAGACAGUUAUGUGCAUUUCCAAAUCUAAUCAAUUGAAUUUACCACAGGUUGACUCCAAAUUGUAGACAUCUCAAGGAUGAUAAAUGGAAACAAGAUGCAUCUGAGCUCAAUUUCAAGUCUCAUAAAAGGGUCUGAAUACUUAGGUAAAUAAGGUAUUUCUGUUUUCUAGGUAAAACAUUUGGUAACAUAAAAAUAAAAUAAACUGUUUUUGCAUUGUCAUUAUGGGGUAUUGUGUGUAAAUUGCUGAGGAUUUUUUAUUUAAUCCAUUUUAGAAUAAGACUAACAUAAAACAUUUGGAAAAUGUCCAGGGGUCUGAAUAUAUCUUUGGUGUUACUCACUAUUAUUUUGUAGUGAGGUAUGUGAGAGAUUCUGAAACUGAGUUAUGUUGGGGAACUAGAGCAAAUAGAAUUCAGAAAAUUCUUUCAGUUUAAAUGGGAGGGGCAAAACUGGGGAUUCUUGAGCACAACUUGCAAAUCAUGUUCAAACUAACCCAGAGAAUGAGGUAUUUAUAAAUGGUUUUAGGAAUUCACUCCAGGUAACUCCCUACAGAUUCCACACACUUGAUGCACUACAUGGCCAAAAGUGAGUGGACAACCCUUCAAAUGUUUGGAUUUGGCUAUUUCAGGCACACUUAUUUCUGACAGGUGUAUAAACUCAAGCACACAGCUAUGCAGUCUCAAUAGACAAACAUUGGCAGUAGAAUGGCCCAUACUGAAGAGCUCAGUGACAUUCAAUGUGGCAUCGUCAUAGGAUGCCAACUUUCCAACAAGUCAGUUCGUCAAAUUUCUGCCCUGCUAGAGCUGCCCCAGUCAACUGUAAGUGCUUUUAUUGUAAAGUGGAAACAUCUAGGAGCAACAACCGCUCAGCCCCGAAGUGGUAGGCCACACAAUCUCACAGAACAGGGCCACUGAAGCAGGUUUGCACUACUCACUACUGAGUUUCAAACGGCCUCUGGAAGCAAAGUCAGUACAAUAACUGUUCAUCGAGAGCUUCAUGACAUGGGUUUCCAUGGCCGAGCAGCCGCAACAAGAUGACUAUGCGCAAUGCCAAGCGUCAGCUGGAGAGGUGUAAAGCUCACCGCCAUUGGACUCUGGAGCAGUGGAAACACGUUCUCUGGAGUGAUGAAACAUGCUUCAUCAUCUGGCAGUCCGAUGGACAAUCUGGAUUUGGCGAAUGCCAAGAGAACACUACCUGCCCGGCUUCAUAGUGCCAACUGUAAACUUUGGUGGAGGAGGAAUAAUGGUCUGGGGCUUUUUUUUCAUGGUUCGUGCUAGGCCCCUUAGUUCCAUUGAAGGGAAAUCUUGACGCUACAGCAGACAAUGACAUUCUAGGCGAUUCUGUGCUUCCUAUUCUGUGGCAACAGUUUGGGGAAGGCCCUUUCCUGUUCCAGCAUGACAAUGCCCCUGUGCACAAAGCAAGGUCCAUACAGAAAUGGUUUGUCAAGAUCAGUGUGGAAGAACUUGACUGGCCUGCAUAGGGCCCUGUCCUCAACUCUAUUGAACACCGUUGGUAUGAAUUGGCACGCCGACCCAGGUCUAAUCGCCCAACACCGGUGGCUGACCUCACUAAUGCUCUUGUGAAUGCUGCGGGGACUUGCUUCCAAUGUUCCAACAUCUGGUGUAAAGCCUUCCCAGAAGAGUGGAGGCUGUUAUAGCAGCAAAGGGAGGGACCAAGUCUAUAUUAAUGCCCAUGAUUUUGGAAUAAGAAGUUUAUCAAGCAGGUGUCCAUAUACUUUUGGCCAUGCAGUGGAGCUUCUCCAGUUGAAUAGAUUUUAGUUAUUCAAGGGCGCGUUAUCUAUUUUGUGCAAAAUGUUACGUCACGCAAUGCGAUAUUGACCUGGUUUGUGUGUGUGUGUGUAUAGACAAACAUGCACCAUCUUAUUGUGAAAUACUAUAAGAAGAUGGUGUGAUGUGUUUUGACCUCUGUAGGACCCCUUACAUUUAGCUUGAGGAUCACUAUUGUUGUAAGUAUGAUGAACUUGUAUGCCCAUUCUCCAGUGAAACUUGUAGGUGUGUUUACUCUGCAGUGACACUCUAGAAGCUAUUCAAAACAGCAGUGCAUUUUAGCUGUUUAAAUUCUCUCUUUAACUCUGUUAAAGCUGUGAAACUAAUAUCUACUGCUACUUCGGAACCUCUAUGCAAACCAUUUCUGUUAGGAUAAUCUUCAUUAUUUUUAUUUUGUCAUACCCUGCUGCGAAAAGAUUGGAUGUGAUUGGUCAGAACACCAAAUUAGUGAGAAAAAGAUCAGAAGUGGGCUGCCUGUGUGAACGCAGCCUAAAGUAUGUAGUGAACUGAUUUUUGAAGCAAUUGUCUGAGAUAAAGCAAGCCUAAGCAUCUGUGGUAAAUAAGAAAAUCAUUCCAAAAAUGACAGUUGACAAACUAAAAUAGCCAAGUAGUGAGUCAGUUGUAUUGUUAAAAUAUGUCUGAAUUAUUUGAAUAAUGUUACAUUUUCAAGUACUUGAAAUACAUAUUUUAACCUGGGGUGCAUUCAUUACGCUGAUUCUGUUGCAAAAGUUUUAUGCCAAAUGGAAAAUGUUUUGUAACAAAUUGUUUUUAUUGGACAAAUUCAGGUAGGUCCUGCAUCGUUUCAUGCUGUUUGGUUCUCAAACGCUAAAUGGUUUCUGUUGCGAAAUGUAAUGAAUUUGAUUGAUUAUCAUUGAGGUUGUAAUGAUCAGUCAACACUUACCCAUUUAUCAUUCCACUCCAAGUGGAGUUCCACUAUUAUUUAAUUUUAACAGAUAAAUGUGGUUUCACAUGAAUGUAGAGAUGUAUAAUCUCAGUUUAACUUUUUUGUAAAAAAAUAUUUGCUUUAUUUGCAAAUGUUUUCCUUUGAUGGAAAAGUUUAAAUAGUUUUUAUAAAAUUUGCAGACAUUCUGUAUUAUUAUUAUUAUUAUUAGGCACCCAGAAUUGUAUUUGACAAAUAGGUGUUAGCAACCUGCUUUUAAUUUGUAUGAAACUGAACAUUUUAUUUUAUUUGUCCUAUCCUUUGAACAAAUGAGGUCCCCUUGGCAUUUUGUGGUAUUUUAAUUGUUGCAAAGACAGGCAAACUUGUAAAUAUCAAAUAAAAUUGUACAAAAUGA